rnacentral:rRNA from 1 species
CACGGAUGGGGCAAGCGUUGUUCGGAAUCACUGGGCGUAAAGGGCGUGUAGGCGGUUCGAAAAGCCCGGCGUGAAAGGUAUCGGCUUAACCGAUAGACUGCGCUGGGAACUGCCGGACUGGAGUCAUGGAGGGGGAGCUGGAAUUCCAGGUGUAGGGGUGAAAUCUGUAGAGAUCUGGAAGAACACCGGUGGCGAAGGCGAGCUUCUGGCCAAUGACUGACGCUGAGGCGCGAAAGCGUGGGGAGAAAACAGG